GGUUAGGGUUUGGGUUAGCAAAUUUCUCCACUUGUCGACCUUUGUUUUUAACUGUGGGAAUUAGGAGUGGAGUCUCUUCCUCUCCACACAGCCCAGUAGGUACGCUGCCUAUGUGCCUGUGGAGAACAGCGGUUCCUGUAGGGCCGACAGAUGUGGACCAAGUAGCUGUGAAAUAUCUUCUGAAGAAAACGCACGAGGAAGACGCGGGGAGACAGGAGACAUCAAUAUAUGUAAGAUGAAGGUUGGUUCCGUCGGGAAAGGUGGGACAACUCGACGCAGGGAGGGGGCUUCCAGGUCACAGGUAGGUGAGAGACAAACUGUUGUAUUCUUUUGGGUUUCUGAAUAGCCUCCCCAAAGGAGGCCAUCAGAUAUGCACUUAUCUCAGUGUGCAGAGGGGUGACUUUGAAUAGAAGGGGAGGCAGGUUUGCCCUAAGCAGUUCCCAGCUUUUUUCCCUUUAGAUUAGUGAUUUUUGGGCCCUCAGAUUCAUUUUCCUUUCACAAGCUAAACAGCUUUAGGAACUGAAAGUUUCAUGAGGCUGUAAGGAAGAGUCGAGUUGCUCCAGGUGAGCCUGGGCCACAGCAGCAUGCAGGAUCUGGGCGCCCAUGUGGGGCUCCUGGGAGGGUUCGGGAAAGGGAGCUGUGAACCCUGACUAUCUGAGAUGGUUUCAGGUGAUUGAGAAAGUUCAUUUUGCCGAGGUUGAGGACGUGCACCCGUGACAGCCUCAGGAGAUCCUGACGACAAGUGCCCAAGGUGGUCAGGGCACAGCUUGGUUUUAGGGAGACAUGAGACGUCAGUCAAUACAUGUCAGAAGCACCUUGCUUCCAUCCAGAAAGGUGGGGACAACUGGAAGCAGGGAGGGGGCUUCCAAGGUCACAGGUAGGUGACAGACAAAUGUUGCGUUGUUUUGAGUUUCUGGUUAGCCUCUCCAAAGGAGGCGAUCGGAUGUGCACCUGUCUUAGUGAGGAGAUAGGUGAUUUGGAAUAGAAUGGGAGGCAGGUUUGCCCUGAGCACUUCCCAGCUUCACUUUUCCCUUUAGCUUAGUAAUUUUGGGGCCCCAAGAUUUCUUUGCACAGAGCCUAGGACUAGAUUUGCAUUUUUAGAUCCUGCGAGGAGGCUGCUACACACACGCAGAAGUCAUGCUGGUGGCCUGGACACCGAAGGGAGAGAAGUGGAUUUGAGAGACAUUUAGGAGUGUAUGAUUUGGAUGAAACAAGAGAAAGGGACUGACUGUUGCUGAGUCCCUGCUGCAGUCCUGACACAGCUGGAGACACCCUGCUCUCCAGCUCUCCUUAUUUUGUUGAUGCUUAUGAGGACCAUGUUGUCUAAGGAAGACGGUUCCCAUCCAACUCUGCCCCUGGUGUGUCACGUGCUGGCCGUGUCAACACACACGAGAACCUGACAGGCACCACUGGGUUAGGUCUCCACGACUGAGCUGGUCUCGGCAAGUGGUGCCUAUACGUGGGGCUCGAAUCCAGGUUGAAGGUCGCCAGAGCGACAGUUGGAGAAUGUGGAACUAAGCUGGAGGACACCCGAGUACUCUUAAGGAAUCCCUGUGGACCCAUGCAAGAAGAGGCCAUGGUUUUGGAGUACCUGGUAGUGUGUCCACAGUGAAGACCAGAGUUUCAUUGUCCUCAAGACUGACCUGGGGGGACGUGGCUGCGGGCCAGUGAGGAAGAUGGCACCAAAAGUGAAGAAGGAAGCUCCUGCCCCUCCUAAAGCCAAAGCCGAAGCAAAGGCUUUAAAGGCCAAGAAGGCAGCGUUGAAAUGUGUCCACAGCCCCCCCCCCAAAAAAGAUCUGCACCUCCCCCACCUUCCAGCGUCCCAAGACACUAGGACUCCAGCCCAGAUAUCCUGGGACAAGCACCCCCCGGAGAAACAAGCUUGACCACCAUGCUAUCAUCAAGUUUCCACUGACCACUGAGUCAGCCGUGAAGAAGAUAGAAGACAACAGCACACUUGUGUUCACUGUUGAUGUUAAAGCCAACAAGCACCAGAUCAAACAGAAUGUGAAGAAGCUCUGGGACGUGGAUAUGGCCACGGUCAACAUCCUGAUUCGGCCUGAUGGAGAGAAGAAGGCAUAUGUUCGACUGGCUCCUGAUUACGAUGCUUUGGAUGUUGCCAACAAACUUGGGAUCAUCUAAACUGAGUACAGCUGGCUGAUUCUAAAUAUAUGUAUAUCUUUUCACCAUAAAAAAAGGAAAUAAUGUUUUUCAUAAGCAUGAUGACUUAAAAUCUUAAAGCUUAUAGAUUUGAUUGUAAUUAUCUAGUAAGUAUAGUAUUAGCUUCUUGUAAGCACUCAAGCAGAAUAAAAACUUGUUUGUUGC